CCACAAUCAAUAUGUGACCUUUAACGAGUGCAUGCCGUAUAAGAAUAAUGCAGGAACAUGAGAGACUAAUUGAAACACAUACUAUACAACAACAUCAAAUUCAUUACCCUAAUCAACUGAAAAUCAAAAAUUACAAAUUCAAUAAGCAUAUGAAAGAAACGCUUAAAACUCCAAAGCUAAAAUCGCAAAAAAUAGCUCUUUUGGUGAACAAAAAGUUCCUCAGCAUGCCCUAUUAAACUGCUAUAAAAUACCCCAAACCAAGUAUGCAGCUAGAACAUCCAUCUCCGUAAUAAUGAAGAAAACACAAAGACCAAAACUUUAGAGACCAAUAACCAAUCACAUUAUGAAUAACCCUCAGCUAAAUAUUGUAGAAAAGAAGACCUAAAGAUCCAUCGAAACAAACACUCUACAACAAUACCAAAUUCAGUGAAAACUAAACUACUCUAGAACAUCCAUCUCCCUAAUAAUGAAGAAACAAAAGGAUACACAAAGAUCAAAACUUUAUAGAGUCCAAGAAGCCAAUCAGCCUAUCGUGAAGCUUCUCUCAUCAAAGGAAGGAUAAUCUCAGAACUAAUCAAUCAACUCAAAAUGUUUAUUUCUUGCUGCACGAAAGAAGCAAUCAUACAAGGCAAAGCUAUUCCGGUAAGGAGUAGAAUGAAAGGAAAUGGUACAUCAAUCAAGCUCUAGUACACGGUCCUAGAUUCAUGGAAACCAAACACAACACGUAGAUACGAUAGUAAGAAUCUCAAUCAUUACGGGACUCAAUACAAACAAAACAAACAAAAAAAACGAAUUUUUACAUCAUUCAAUCAAUCAAUCAACACCUGAAAUGAAAAUUUAAAUCAAUCCAGAUGAAGAGAGAGGCGUGUAGAUCUGCAGACCUCUUAUGAGAUUCCUGUGGUAAGAAUCGAAAGGUGAAAGAUUGGUAGAGGGGACGGAUCUGGGAGGUGAAGAGGAGGAGCCGCCGCCAUCGGAGAGGGUAUGGUCUCGGGAAAGGGCGAAGGAGGUCGCGGUGGAAGAUCUCUGCGAAAGAGAAAAGAGCCUCCUUCCUGCUACUCGCAGCAUCUCUGCUCAAUGGGGAAUCUAGGGUUUCGAGAACAGAGUAGUCCUGAGGUUAGGGACGGCCAAUGCAACAGAGCGAAGAGUCUUCCCGUAAAAUUAGUCUUCUAGGAAAGAAAAGGUCAAAGCUUUUUAAUAUUUAUUCAUCCUGAAUAAAAUAUGUUUUUUCAGUUUGAUCUUUGAUGAGAGAUUUUGUUGUUUUACAAAUAUAAUUGUUGUUUAAUUAUAUUUUCGAUACAUUUAAAAAAAAAAAAUUCUUUAGGAUAGUCAAUUAGUCAUUUUUAUGUUUCUGUCACAAAUUAAGAAAAAAAUGACCAAUUUUUUUUUAUUAAAAGGUAAAAAUAUAUUUAUAUCCUAAGACUAAUUAAUUUAGACUUAAAGUUUAGAACUAAAGGAUUGGUUUUGAGCAUAGUGUUUUAAAUUUUAAAAAGUAAAACAGAAAUAUUAAAAAUUUUAAAAUAAAAAUGAAUUAUUUUGGUCAUUUUUUUCUUUGAACGUUAUUUUUGUGACAAAAACUUUAAAUGACUAUUUGAGAGAAUUGAAUUUUUUUAACAUUGACUUGUUUUUAUUAUAAAUUAUAAAAAAAAAUUAUUACAUUUGCAUUUUAUAAGAAUUUUUAUUUACAAAGUACACCAUAAUAAAAAAAAUACCCUAAUAAAAAUUGAUGUCAUUUUUUUCAUUUAAUCUAAUUUGACUAAACUUUUUGAUGUAUAAGUAUUAAUGAAUUAUUAUUUAACUACUAGAUAAAUUAUGUUUAACCUGACAAAAAUAUAUAUAUACUGUACACACAUAUUCAUCCAUAUCAAUUUGAGAACAAUGGUGUAUUUUAAAAAUCAAACCCAAACUUUAUUAAGAAGAGGAUCUUGUCUGCAAUGACAAUAACUAAUGAAUAAAAUGUAUUUGGCUUGCCAAAUUAAAAAAAAAAAUCCAAUUAAGCUAUUCAAAAUACAAAACUGUUUUCAAACAAUAAACACAUACAUCGUUUCAUUCACCAGAUGGGACAGAUGCUAAGUCAUACAAUGACAAGUUUGUAUUAUUCAGUAAAACCAAGCACAAUCGUUUACUUGCUGAGAAGACCAAAGUGUGAGGAAAGCGUACUUGCACUUAGCCAGAAAGUAUAUAUAAAAGAAAAACAAAAAAACAAAUGAGGAUCUUUGAGACACAAACACUGUCUGACGUGCGUUUAUUCAUCAACCAAUGAGUAACUUGUUCUCUUCCAAGAAGCUGUAAGUUGGUACUUCCAAGUUGUAAGGUGCAGGACCUUUCCUGAUCCUUCCAGAGAUGUCGUAAUGCGAACCGUGACACGGGCAAAACCAGCCACCAUAGUCACCAGCAGUGGCAGGUUCAGAACCAAAACCAACCUCGUUUCCUUGAGUAAGGACUUGAGAAGAAAAACCUGAUAAUAGCAUGAAAAAACAUUAAUAUGUUCACAUCAAAGCAAACUUUUUUUCAAUCACCACAAUCAAUAUGUGACCUUUAACGAGUGCAUGCCGUAUAAGAAUAAUGCAGGAACAUGAGAGACUAAUUGAAACACAUACUAUACAACAACAUCAAAUUCAUUACCCUAAUCAACUGAAAAUCAAAAAUUACAAAUUCAAUAAGCAUAUGAAAGAAACGCUUAAAACUCCAAAGCUAAAAUCGCAAAAAAUAGCUCUUUUGGUGAACAAAAAGUUCCUCAGCAUGCCCUAUUAAACUGCUAUAAAAUACCCCAAACCAAGUAUGCAGCUAGAACAUCCAUCUCCGUAAUAAUGAAGAAAACACAAAGACCAAAACUUUAGAGACCAAUAACCAAUCACAUUAUGAAUAACCCUCAGCUAAAUAUUGUAGAAAAGAAGACCUAAAGAUCCAUCGAAACAAACACUCUACAACAAUACCAAAUUCAGUGAAAACUAAACUACUCUAGAACAUCCAUCUCCCUAAUAAUGAAGAAACAAAAGGAUACACAAAGAUCAAAACUUUAUAGAGUCCAAGAAGCCAAUCAGCCUAUCGUGAAGCUUCUCUCAUCAAAGGAAGGAUAAUCUCAGAACUAAUCAAUCAACUCAAAAUGUUUAUUUCUUGCUGCACGAAAGAAGCAAUCAUACAAGGCAAAGCUAUUCCGGUAAGGAGUAGAAUGAAAGGAAAUGGUACAUCAAUCAAGCUCUAGUACACGGUCCUAGAUUCAUGGAAACCAAACACAACACGUAGAUACGAUAGUAAGAAUCUCAAUCAUUACGGGACUCAAUACAAACAAAACAAACAAAAAAAACGAAUUUUUACAUCAUUCAAUCAAUCAAUCAACACCUGAAAUGAAAAUUUAAAUCAAUCCAGAUGAAGAGAGAGGCGUGUAGAUCUGCAGACCUCUUAUGAGAUUCCUGUGGUAAGAAUCGAAAGGUGAAAGAUUGGUAGAGGGGACGGAUCUGGGAGGUGAAGAGGAGGAGCCGCCGCCAUCGGAGAGGGUAUGGUCUCGGGAAAGGGCGAAGGAGGUCGCGGUGGAAGAUCUCUGCGAAAGAGAAAAGAGCCUCCUUCCUGCUACUCGCAGCAUCUCUGCUCAAUGGGGAAUCUAGGGUUUCGAGAACAGAGUAGUCCUGAGGUUAGGGACGGCCAAUGCAACAGAGCGAAGAGUCUUCCCGUAAAAUUAGUCUUCUAGGAAAGAAAAGGUCAAAGCUUUUUAAUAUUUAUUCAUCCUGAAUAAAAUAUGUUUUUUCAGUUUGAUCUUUGAUGAGAGAUUUUGUUGUU
rnacentral:lncRNA from 1 species